rnacentral:rRNA from 1 species
AGAGACCACGAGCGUUAUCCGAAUUUAUUGGGCGUAAAGGGUCCGCAGGCGGUCUGGUAAGUCAUUUGUCAAAUCUUCGGGCUCAACCCGAAGGCUGCAGGUGAUACUGCUAGACUAGAGGCCGGGAGAGGCACACGGAAUUGCUGGUGUAGCAGUAAAAUGCGUUAAUAUCAGCAAGAACACCAAAUGCGAAGGCAGUGUGCUGGAACGAGCCUGACGCUCAGGGACGAAAGCGUGGGGUAGCGAAUGGGAUUAGAUACCCCAGUAGUCCACGCCCGUAAACGAUGAAUGCUAGAUAUUGGGAGUAUCGACCCUCCCAGUGUCGUUGAACCAAGCUAACGCGUUAAGCAUUCCGCCUGGGGAGUACGGCCGCAAGGCUAA